AGCGAACGCUGGCGGCAGGCCUAACACAUGCAAGUCGAACGAACCCUUCGGGGUUAGUGGCGGACGGGUGAGUAACACGUGGGAACGUGCCUUUAGGUUCGGAAUAACUCAGGGAAACUUGUGCUAAUACCGAAUGUGCCCUUCGGGGGAAAGAUUUAUCGCCUUUAGAGCGGCCCGCGUCGGAUUAGCUAGUUGGUGAGGUAAUGGCUCACCAAGGCUACGAUCAGUAGCUGGUCUGGGAGGAUGACCAGCCACAUUGGUACUGAGACACGGCCCAAACUCCUACGGGAGGCAGCAGUGGGGAAUCUUGCGCAAUGGGCGAAAGCCUGACGCAGCCAUGCCGCGUGGAUGAUGAAGGUCUUAGGAUUGUAAAAUCCUUUCACCGGUGAAGAUAAUGACUGUAGCCGGAGAAGAAGCCCCGGCUAACUUCGUGCCAGCCGCCGCUGUAAAAC
rnacentral:rRNA from 1 species